rnacentral:rRNA from 1 species
AGACAACUCCAAACAACGGAUAUCUCGGCUCGUAUAACGAUGAAGAACGCAGCGAAAUGCGAUACGUAGUGUGAAUUGCAGAAUUCCGUGAACCAUCGAAUUUUUGAACGCAUAUUGCACCUGAGCUUCGGCGAAGGUAUGUCUGCCUGAGCGUCGGUG